rnacentral:rRNA from 1 species
CCUACGGGCGGCUGCAGUGAGGAAUAUUGGUCAAUGGACGAGAGUCUGAACCAGCCAAGUAGCGUGAAGGAUGACUGCCCUAUGGGUUGUAAACUUCUUUUAUAUGGGAAUAAAAUGUUCCACGUGUGGGAUUUUGUAUGUACCAUAUGAAUAAGGAUCGGCUAACUCCGUGCCAGCAGCCGCGGUAAUACGGAGGAUCCGAGCGUUAUCCGGAUUUAUUGGGUUUAAAGGGAGCGUAGGUGGAUUGUUAAGUCAGUUGUGAAAGUUUGCGGCUCAACCGUAAAAUUGCAGUUGAAACUGGCAGUCUUGAGUACAGUAGAGGUGGGCGGAAUUCGUGGUGUAGCGGUGAAAUGCUUAGAUAUCACGAAGAACUCCGAUUGCGAAGGCAGCUCACUGGACUGCAACUGACACUGAGGCUCGAAAGCGUGGGUAUCGAACAGGAUUAGAUACCCCAGUAGUC